GGAACCCAAACUCAUUUUCAUCACUAUUGUUUUAUUGAUAUAUCCGAUUAUUUCUUUUGCAUAUGAUAAAGAAAAAUGUGAUGCUCCACCCGCUGUUAGAAGCCCUUGCUUGGGCAUGAUUUGGAAAUGGAGCUUUUA